rnacentral:rRNA from 1 species
UGGCGGCGUGCUUAACACAUGCAAGUCGAACGAUGAAGCCGCAGCUUGCUGUGGUGGAUUAGUGGCGAACGGGCGAGUAACACGUGAGUAACCUGUCCUUUUCUUUGGGAUAACGGCUGGAAACGGCUGCUAAUACUGGAUAUUCAGGCUGCAUCGCAUGGUGUGGUUUGGAAAGGUUUUUUCUGGGAUUGGGUGGGCUCGCGGCCUAUCAGCUUGUUGGUGGGGUGAUGGCUUACCAAGGCUUUGACGAGUAGCCGGCCUGAGAGGGUGGUCGGUCGCACUGGGACUGAGAUACGGCCCAGACUCCUACGGGAGGCAGCAGUGGGGAAUAUUGCACAAUGGACGAAAGUUUGAUGCAGCGACGCCGCGUGGAGGGUGUAGGCCUUCGGGUUGUGAACUCCUUUUUCUCGCGAAAAAGGCACAGUUUUGGCUGUGUUGAUGGUAGUGGGGGAAGAAGCGCCGGCUAACUACGUGCCAGCCGCCGCGGUAA